UACGUAGGGUCCGAGCGUUGUCCGGAAUUAUUGGGCGUAAGGGGCUCGUAGGCGGUUUGUCGCGUCGGGAGUGAAAACCUACAGCUUAACUGUGGGCUUGCUUUCGAUACGGGUAGACUUGAGGCAUGCAGGGGGAGAACGGAAUUCCUGGUGUAGCGGUGAAAUGCGCAGAUAUCAGGAGGAACACCGGUGGCGAAGGCGGUUCUCUGGGCAUGUUCUGACGCUGAGGAGCGAAAGUGUGGGGGAGCGAACAGG
rnacentral:rRNA from 1 species